GAUGAACGCUGGCGGCGUGCCUAAUACAUGCAAGUAGAACGCUGAAGGAGGAGCUUGCUCUUUCCGGAUGAGUUGCGAACGGGUGAGUAACGCGUAGGUAACCUGCCUGGUAGCGGGGGAUAACUAUUGGAAACGAUAGCUAAUACCGCAUAACAGUAGAUAUUGCAUGAUAUUUGCUUGAAAGGGGCAAUUGCUCCACUACCAGAUGGACCUGCGUUGUAUUAGCUAGUUGGUGAGGUAACGGCUCACCAAGGCGACGAUACAUAGCCGACCUGAGAGGGUGAUCGGCCACUCUGGGACUGAGACACGGCCCAGACUCCUACGGGAGGCAGCAGUAGGGAAUCUUCGGCAAUGGACGGAAGUCUGACCGAGCAACGCCGCGUGAGUGAAGAAGGUUUUCGGAUCGUAAAGCUCUGUUGUAAGAGAAGAACGAGUGUGAGAGUGGAAAGUUCACACUGUGACGGUAUCUUACCAGAAAGGGACGGCUAACUACGUG
rnacentral:rRNA from 1 species